UCUACCUGAGAUCCAUAAGUAGUGUAACAUCCAGUAACACAGUUAUAACUAAAAUUUUAGAAUAGUUGAUUGAUCGUAUGGUAUCUUUUGAUCAUUCCGUACAAACACUAAUCUCCAACAUCUAUUUUUUUUUUCUUCUAAUACUACUCAAUGCGUUUCGCAUCCCAUACGAGGAUACAUCGAGGAAAAGCUAUCCCCUUACGUGACAACUGCGCUUACUACGGCAUUUCAUCCAGCCUCAACAGUUCCGCUUGUUUUUUAAAUAAGAGCUCUUUGGAACAUUGCUCAUAUCAAGGAUUUAUUUCAUAAUUCUAUAUAGUGCAUUUACACAACUCUAAGAACAUCUCCUGCAGGGUAUUUAUCUCCUCAAUGGACUCCACUGUGCAAAAGGUUGGCAAAGGGGUUUUAUCCGUGAGGUUCAAGCAGGUGUUUUGAUUCGCCAACAGUUGUUGCAUCAUCCCGGUCAGAACAUCGAGCUUGUUGUUCAUCACUUCGUUCUGGACCUUUAGCUGAGCUACCAUUCAGCGUAACAUCAUACAUUCUUUUGCCAAAUCAGU